CCCUUAGAUGUUCUGAACCGCACGCGUGUUACACUGAUGUAUUCAACGAGCUUUACCUUGGCCGAGAGGCCUGGGAAAUCUUUUUAGCAUGCAUCGUGAUAGGGAUUGAUUAUUGCAAUUAUUAAUCAUGAACGAGGAAUUCCUAGUAAACGCAUUUCAUCAAAAUGCAUUGAUUACGUCCCUGCCCUUUGUACACACCGCCCGUCGCACCUACCGAUUGAGUGGUCCGGUGAAGUCUCGAGAUUGUGGCAAUCUCCUUUAUUGGAGUUUGACUGCGAGAACUUGCCUAAACCUUAUCACUUAGAGGAAGGUGAAGUCGUAACA
rnacentral:rRNA from 1 species